GGAUUAGAUACCCUGGUAGUCCACGCUGUAAACGAUGAUUACUCGGUGCUAGCGAUAUACUGUUAGUGCCUAAGCGAAAGCGAUAAGUAAUCCACCUGGGGAGUACGGUCGCAAGAUUGAAACUCAAAGGAAUUGACGGGGGCCCGCACAAGCGGUGGAGCAUGUGGUUUAAUUCGAUGAUACGCGAGGAACCUUACCUGGGCUUAAAUGUAUUUUGACAGAUCUGGAAACAGAUCCUUCUUCGGACAAUUUACAAGGUGCUGCAUGGUUGUCGUCAGCUCGUGCCG
rnacentral:rRNA from 1 species